AUUGAACGCUGGCGGCAGGCCUAACACAUGCAAGUCGAACGGUAACAGGAAGAAGCCUGCUUCUUUGCUGACGAGUGGCGGACGGGUGAGUAAUGUCUGGGAAACUGCCUGAUGGAGGGGGAUAACUACUGGAAACGGUAGCUAAUACCGCAUAACGUCGCAAGACCAAAGAGGGGGACCUUCGGGCCUCUUGCCAUCGGAUGUGCCCAGAUGGGAUUAGCUAGUAGGUGGGGUAACGGCUCACCUAGGCGACGAUCCCUAGCUGGUCUGAGAGGAUGACCAGCCACACUGGAACUGAGACACGGUCCAGACUCCUACGGGAGGCAGCAGUGGGGAAUAUUGCACAAUGGGCGCAAGCCUGAUGCAGCCAUGCCGCGUGUAUGAAGAAGGCCUUCGGGUUGUAAAGUACUUUCAGCGGGGAGGAAGGGAGUAAAGUUAAUACCUUUGCUCAUUGACGUUACCCGCAGAAGAAGCACCGGCUAACUCCGU
rnacentral:rRNA from 1 species